UACGUAGGGUGCGAGUGUUGUCCGGAAUUAUUGGGCGUAAAGAGCUCGUAGGCGGUCUGUCGCGUCGGCUGUGAAAACCCGGAGCUCAACUCCGGGCCUGCAGUCGAUACGGGCAGACUGGAGUUCGGCAGGGGAGACUGGAAUUCCUGGUGUAGCGGUGAAAUGCGCAGAUAUCAGGAGGAACACCGGUGGCGAAGGCGGGUCUCUGGGCCGAUACUGACGCUGAGGAGCGAAAGCGUGGGGAGCGAACAGG
rnacentral:rRNA from 1 species